CCCCUAGAUGUUCUGGGCCGCACGCGCGCUACACUGAACAGUUCAACAAGUCUUAACCUUGGCCGAUAGGUCUGGGUAAUCUUUGAACUCUGUUCGUGAUUGGGAUAGACCUUUGCAAUUAUGGGUCUUCAACGAGGAAUUCCUAGUAAACGCAAGUCAUCAGCUUGCAUUGAUUACGUCCCUGCCCUUUGUACACACCGCCCGUCGCACCUACCGAUUGAAUGGUCCGGUGAAAUCUCGGGACGGCGGCUUGGUCGCUUGCGUCCGACUGCUGAAACUUGAUUAAACCAUAUCAUUUAGAGGAAGGUGAAGUCGUAACA
rnacentral:rRNA from 1 species